rnacentral:rRNA from 1 species
GAAAAGCACUUUGAAGAGAGAGUCAAACAGUACGUGAAAUCGAUUGAAUGGAAACGGAUAUAGUCGACGGAUCUGGCUCGUAUUCAUCCGAGUAUUGCGUAUGUUUGGCGACGGUAGACGGCCGAGAGUGCGAGGUUCCUUCCUCGCGUUUGAUGCCUCUAUUGGCGCCUCUACGCAUAUCGGUGCAUUUGCGGGCUAUUGUGCGCUGGAACGUACGCGUCCGUCGUCCUCCCUCGCGGAGAAGAGGAUGCGCGCCUCGGCGCGUAAAACCGGCUUCGCACAUGGGCUUGUGGACGAUUGGGCGUGUGUGUGUGUGUGAAGCGAGGGGCUAAUUUAUUGUGGCGGGCUCGGCACGGCGUCCUGUUCUUUAUUCGAUGAGUGGCGGUCGCAUGCGACACGCGCUUGUCGUGGGCUCGGCGUCGGCGUCGGCUCUCCUGGCGCUCUUCCGGCGUAAGGGUCGAGCGAUUAUCCGACCCGUCUUGAAACACGGACCAAGGAGUUUAAGGCAUGCGCGAGUAAUUGGGUGGUGAAAACUCAGAUGCGUAAUGAAAGUGAAGGUGCACUUUGAGGCACUUAUACGCGACUCGUGCGUCGGCUUCGGACGGCGCCGAAGCAGCGUAGCCCCGUCUCUGUCGCUUGCGAUGGGGCGGAGGAAGAGCGUAUGCGUUGAGACCCGAAAGAUGGUGAACUAUGCUUGAGCAGGACGAAGUCAGAGGA